rnacentral:rRNA from 1 species
UACAGAGGUCUCAAGCGUUGUUCGGAUUCAUUGGGCGUAAAGGGUGUGUAGGUGGCGCUGUAAGUCGGGUGUGAAAUUUCGGAGCUUAACUCCGAAACUGCAUUCGAUACUGUCGGGCUAGAGGGCAGGAGAGGGAAGUGGAAUUCCCGGUGUAGCGGUGAAAUGCGUAGAUAUCGGGGAGGAACGCCAGUGGCGAAGGCGGCUCACUGGCCCGAUACUGACGCUGAGGCACGAAAGCGUGGGGAGCAAACAGG